rnacentral:lncRNA from 1 species
CUCCAGGACAACAUCAACCUUCCUCAUCUCCUCCAGGACUAGCACACACAUCAACCUUCCUCCUCUCCUCCCAGGACAACAUCAACCUUCCACCUCUCCCCAAGGACAACAUCAACCUUCCACCUCUCCUCCAGGAGUACAGUACAACAUCAACCUUCCUCCCUCCUCCCAGACCAACAACCUCCUCCUCUCCUCCAGUACACAAAUUCAACCCUUCCACCUCUCCUUCAGGGAGUACAGUACAACACUCAACUCUCCUCCCUCUCCAGUACAACAUCAACCUUCCACCUCUCCUCCAGGAAACAUCAAACCUUCCACUUUCCUCCAGGACAACAUCAACCUUCCACCACUCCUCCAGGAGUACAGUACUACAUCAACCUCCACCUCUCCUCCAGGAGAAACAUCAACUUCCACUCUCCUUCAGGGUACGUACCAACACAACCUUCCACCCUCCCCAGGACAACAUCAACAUUCCACCUCUCCCCCAGGAGUACAGUACAACAUCAAAUUUCCACCUCUCCUUCAGGAGUACAGUACAACAUCAACCUUCCUCCUCUCCUCCAGUACAACAUCAACCUUCCACCUGUCCUCCAGGACACAUCACCCUCCACCUCUCCUCCAGGAGUACAGUACAACAUAACCUUCCACCUCUCCCACCGGAGGACAGUACAACAUCAACCUUCCACCUCUCCUUCAGGAGUACAGUACAACAUCAACCUUCCUCCUCUCCUCCAGUACAAAACAUUAACCUUCCACCACUCCUCCAGGACAACAUCAACCUUCCAGCUCUCCUCCAGGAGUAAGUACAGACACAUCAACCUUCCUCCUCUCCUCCAGUACCAAAAUCAACCUUCCACCUCUCCUCCAGGACAACAUCAACCUUCACCUCUCCUCCAGGAGUACAGUACAACAUCAACCUUCCACCUCUCCUCCAGGAGUACAGUACAACAUCAACCAUCCUCCUCUCCUCCAGCACAACAUCCGUUAUGCUAUACCUCUCUGCUAGUCUGCUGGUCUAACUCAUAAACUAAUUGUGGUAUCAAUUAACAGAGACCGACUGGAUCGCAGAGAAGCA